GCGACAGAGCAAGACUCCAUCUCAAAAAAAAAAAAAAAAAAAAAAAAAGUACAUGGAUGUUCAUUCUGUCUACUUUUGUUUUCCUCGACAGCUGGAGAAUGCAGGGAGAGGAAGAGUAUACACAUAAGAGGUGGAACUUUAAGGUUCUUCCACAUAUCCCAGUCCUCUUUUCCCUCAUUCUCCCAUCCUUCCUCAUCACCCUUACUCCACUUCCUUCUGCCAAUUUUCUUUUCUGCAUGAAGAGAGCAGCUGUACCAGGUGCUGUACCAAGAUGAAUAACACUAGCUUUGCUCAGGCAACUUUGAUUCUACUUAAGGUAGGUAACAGCCUGAAAAACAUGAAAUGCCUACCAGAGAUAUUAGAGCAAGGAAAACUUGGGUGAGGACUCCAGCUUAUCUAGAGAACUUUACUAUACGUGAUGGCAAAGACCAAAAGUAUUAAUAUAAAAUGGCUUCAUUCUUAUAAGGUGAUGUUGGCAAGGACUAGGGCUGAAAGACUUUCCUGGGUUAACUAAGCUACACUCAAUGAAUGCUUAUGAAGAACAUACUGGGUGAACAGAAAUAUAGACAUUUGAUGUAAAUGUCAUGAAAAGAAAAAAAGUGCUAGACAUUGAGGGAAAUAAAGGUACAGCAUAAUCCCUGCCCUUGGGGUUAGAAUCUAAUUUCAGAACUGAAACAUACUAACAACAGAGUUUGCAUGUCAAGUGAUACUGAUAAUAUAUGUUGCUAUAAAACGUUAGAAAUUUUUUUUUUUGAGAUGGAGUCUUGCUGUAUCACCCAGGCCAGAGUGCAGUGGCAUGAUCUCGGCUCACUGCAACCUCUGCCUCCCGGGUUCAAGCGAUUCUCCUGCCUCAGCCUCCCAAGUAGCUCGGACUACAGGCACCUACCACCGCACCUGGCUAAUUUUUGUAGUUUUAGUAGAGAUGGGGUGUCAUCAUCUUUGGCCAGGCUGGUCUUGAACUCCUGACCUCGUGAUCCACCUGCCUCAGCCUCCCAAAGUGCUAGGAUUACAGGUGUGAGCCACCAUGCCAGGCCAUCUUGAGUAGAUUUAUCACUGGUAGCUUUUAUACAUAAGUUUAGAGAAAAACCCUACCACCAUCUUAGGAAGAGAUGGCUUAUCUAUGUACUUCCAUCAGUACAAUUCUUCUAAUAACAAAACAAAAAAAAAAUCGCAAACAUUGAGAUUAAACAGGCAAGUUUUAUUAUCAAAUGUUAACUCUACAAAAACUCAGUAGUAUUGUAGUAAGCAUUACUGCCUAUCUUAAAGUCUUUCAGAGCUUUGGGCAGCUUUGGGCAUCUUAAGGCAUCAAGUAUACAGAAAUUUCUUUUCGAUCUUAAGUGCCAGUUAUCACCAAUUUUCACACAAACCUUUUUUUUUUUCUUCCUAUUGCAGUUAAAGGGCCAUUGCCAGUCAGCUGAAGAAGGAAAUGUUUGCUUCUCCCUUUAAGGUGUUAAAGUAAUGCACAGAAAAUAAAAAUAGCAGCCUCAUAAAUCUGCACGGCAUUGCAUUCAAGCAAAGGACAAUAUGAGUAACUUAGAGAAAUAUCCACAUUCAAUGCACUUAAUGAAAUCCUGUUUUCUUUGGAGUUACAUGAGGCAGCAGUACUAGCUAGUGUCUAAUAUUGCACUUUUAUAGCAUAAACACAGCUAAACAUAGUGUUAAACACUGACAGCAUCAGUACCUGUUCUAAUUGCAUCAGUGUUUACCUCUCAGUCUAGCAUGCUGACUAUAGUCCUAUGCUUUAAAAGGUUAUAAUUAUUUGACAGUUAAGGCAUUAGAGGAAAAAGGUUUAAGGCUAUCAUAAUAUAUAUAAGCAUUCACUUCUGUUCAGUUAGUGUAUUGUUUUCUAGAAUACACUGUUCAAAUUGUCUCACUUCUGGGAUAUUAAAAACUAUGGAAUUUCUCUUAUUAAAGUCCAAACCAUCAAUAAUGAAAAAAGUACAAUAUAAAAUAAUACAUAUGAAGCCACAAUAUUCAAUUACAGUUCAAACUAGAAAUUACUAACUACAUGUAGCUGCUUCAUUUUUCGUUUUGCAUUUUGGCCCCUAAUUCAUUAUUUACAACUGAUACCUGCUGAGAAAAAGAUCCAAACUUUUAAACUUUGUAUGUUUUGUGGAGGGUGCACAAUUUCUUCUAAUUUAUCUUCAGGUGUUUUAAAAUUUAAUUUGUUUUUAAUCAUAAGA
rnacentral:lncRNA from 1 species